rnacentral:misc_RNA from 1 species
AAAUGCGAUAAGUAGUGUGAAUUGCAGAAUUCAGUGAAUCAUCGAAUCUUUGAACGCACAUUGCGCCGCUUGGUAUUCCAUGGGGCAUGCCUGUUCGAGCGUCAUUUGUACCCUCAAGCUCUGCUUGGUGUUGGGUGUUUGUCCCCGUCUCCGCGCGUGGACUCGCCCCAAAGUGAUUGGCAGCCGGCGUACUGGUCCCGGAGCGCAGCACAUGUCGCGCAAACGAGUGCCUUGGUACGGCGGCGUCCAUAAGCCCCUCUCUCACGCUCUUGACCUCGGAUCAGGUAGGGAUACCCGCUGAACUUAAGC